GACGAACGCUGGCGGCGUGCUUAACACAUGCAAGUCGAACGGAGUGGCGAACGGGUGAGUAACACGUGGGUGACAUGCCCUGCACUUCGGGAGAAGCCUGGGAAACUGGGUCUAAUACUGGCUAGUGUGGGAUGGGCCCGCGGCCUAUCGGCUUGUUGGUGGGGUAAUGGCCUACCAAGGCGGCGACGGGUAGCCGGCCUGAGAGGGUGGACGGACACAUUGGGCCUGAGACACGGACCAGAGUGCUACGGGAGGCAGCGGUGGGGAACAUUGCGCAAUGGGCGGAAGCGUGAUGCAGCGACCCCGCGUGGGGGAUGACGGCCUUGGGGUUGUAAACUCCUUUCACCAUCGACGCGGUAGAUGGAGAAGAAGCACCGGCUAACUACGUGCCAGCAGCCGCGGUAAUAC
rnacentral:rRNA from 1 species